UUUGGAGGUUAACACUCUAAACAGCUCAGGGCCGCUUUUCCCGAUAACGAUGGAUCUUCGCUCGUACGAUCAUUCUCCCGAUGGAUCUUGCGAUCCAUCGAUAAUUUCUUUGUCGCCGUUUCCCGAAACUCCUCUUAACGUGAACGCGCAUUCGCUGCACUCACGACGUCGUAGGAUUGUAACUGUCUACUGACACGGUGCUGAAAUGGGCUCCGUAGGAGGGGGAGACGCAGGAAUGUCGCAGGAAAAUUGUGUUAAAAAGGGUUAAAAUAUAUCCCCAUCAAGGACAACAGCAGAGUAGCCUACGAAAAAAAUAGACUGCAAUUAUAUGAAUGCUAAAGACAUUAAAACACAAUUGAUUAGGCUUAAACCGACAUAUAUCAGUCCUAAUCCUGAAUGCACUGUGCGUUUCACGGCAUUUUCCCCCCUGAAAUAAUUCCAUAUGACAAAAAAUUAAAAAUAGCUUGUGUGACAACUACAUUUAUCUUAAUGGGCUGAUUUCUG
ensembl:lncRNA